AUUCACUUCAGCAGAACAUAUACUAAAAUUGGAAUGAUACAGAGAUUUCCAUGGCCCCAGCACAAGAAUGACAUGCAAAUACAUCAAGCAUUUUAUAUUGUU